CUUCGUAGAGGGCUCGCACACCUAACUACCACUCCCUCCACCUGCCUGCUCAUGUUCCCACUCUCCAGCAGUUUGCACCAGGAAAUAAGCGAUAUAUUGGUGCAUGCGCUGAAAUUGACUGAAACUGCCUAAGCACCGGCAGAAGACCCAAAGAGCUGGAAGAUGGCGCCCGUAAGUUCUGCUGCACUGAAUCUGCAAAGAGAGGACAAAAUGGAUGGAAGCCAAAGUCAAUAUCUACAUAUCCAUCUUGGAGAGAUUCCUGAAAACGUUAACCAGGAACAGGGCUUUAUA